GACGAACGCUGGCGGCGUGCUUAACACAUGCAAGUCACGGGGGUCCGCAAGGGAUAACCGGCGAACGGGUGCGUAACACGUGACCAACCUGCCCCUGUGUGGGGGAGUAGCCAUGCUAACGCGUGGGUAAUACCGCAUACGGUCCCUUGGGGGAGGUCCCUGGGGGAAGAAAGCUCUGGCGCACGGGGAGGGGUCGCGGCCUAUCAGCUAGUUGGCGAGGUAAUGGCUCACCAAGGCGACGACGGGUAGCGGGUCUGAGAGGAUGGCCAGCCACA
rnacentral:rRNA from 1 species